rnacentral:rRNA from 1 species
CCGACGGGUGAGUAACACGUAUCCAACCUGCCGUCUACUCUUGGACAGCCUUCUGAAAGGAAGAUUAAUACAAGAUGGCAUCAUGAGUCCGCAUGUUCACAUGAUUAAAGGUAUUCCGGUAGACGAUGGGGAUGCGUUCCAUUAGAUAGUAGGCGGGGUAACGGCCCACCUAGUCUUUGAUGGAUAGGGGUUCUGAGAGGAAGGUCCCCCACAUUGGAACUGAGACACGGUCCAA